GAGAUACCAGGGUGCUGAGCCAGUCCAGGACUGCCCCCUCCUGGCCCACUCAGAGCCCCUGGGUGUGAGAAGCUCGUCUCCCGUGGGUUGCAUUGGCUCUGCCCUAUCUCUGCCUCCAGCACCCAGGGCGGCCGCAGAUGGCAGUGUCUCUGGGGACAGCAGCUGCGAAUGAGUCCACGGGCCAAUGCUGAGCUGCUCAGGCUGAGGCGGUGUGCUCAGCACAGAGCCCCCGGAACUGGCAUCUGCAGGGCGUGAGCUUCCCUCACAGGCCCACCUGGGAGUAGAGAGACAAGAGGAGCUGGAGUUUGGAGACGGAGGUCAGAAGAGUGAGGGCUUCUCUCCGACCUACCUGGAGUUCUUUCCAUCCAUCCCCCUGCUUUCCUCCCCAGAAGCAAGCCAAGGCCGCCGCGAUGCCGCACUUCCUGGACUGGUUCGUGCCGGUCUACUUGGUCAUCUCGGUCCUCAUUCUGGUGGGCUUCGGCGCCUGCAUCUACUACUUCGAGCCGGGCCUGCAGGAGGCGCACAAGUGGCGCAUGCAGCGCCCCCUGGUGGACCGCGACCUCCGCAAG
rnacentral:lncRNA from 1 species